rnacentral:tRNA from 1 species
GUUCUUGAGGUGUAAACACUGCACAUCAGGUUUUCAUCCUGAAAGUAUAGAAAAAUCUAUCUGGAAUA